UGGGGAAUAUUGCACAAUGGGGGAAACCCUGAUGCAGCGACGCCGCGUGAGCGAUGAAGUAUUUCGGUAUGUAAAGCUCUAUCAGCAGGGAAGAAAAUGACGGUACCUGACUAAGAAGCCCCGGCUAACUACGUGCCAGCAGCCGCGGUAAUACGUAGGGGGCAAGCGUUAUCCGGAUUUACUGGGUGUAAAGGGAGCGUAGACGGCAUGGCAAGCCAGAUGUGAAAGCCCGGGGCUCAACCCCGGGACUGCAUUUGGAACUGUCAGGCUAGAGUGUCGGAGAGGUAAGCGGAAUUCCUAGUGUAGCGGUGAAAUGCGUAGAUAUUAGGAGGAACACCAGUGGCGAAGGCGGCUUACUGGACGAUGACUGACGUUGAGGCUCGAAAGCGUGGGGAGCAAACAGGAUUAGAUACCC
rnacentral:rRNA from 1 species